UACCAGCACCCCCGAGUGGUCGGGACGAUUAUUGGGCCUAAAGCAUCCGUAGCCGGUUCUACAAGUCUUCCGUUAAAUCCACCUGCUCAACAGUUGGGCUGCGGAGGAUACUAUAGAGCUAGGAGGCGGGAGAGGCAAGCGGUACUUAGUGGGUAGGGGUAAAAUCCGUUGAUCCAUUGAAGACCACCAGUGGCGAAGGCGGCUUGCCAGAACGCACUCGACGGUGAGGGAUGAAAGCUGGGGGAGCAACCGGG
rnacentral:rRNA from 1 species